rnacentral:rRNA from 1 species
UACGUAGGCAGCGAGCGUUGUUCGGAGUUACUGGGCGUAAAGGGCGCGUAGGCGGCCCGCUAAGUCGAACGUGAAAUCCCUGGGCUCAACCCAGGAACUGCGUCCGAUACUGGCAGGCUUGAAUCCGGGAGAGGGAUGUGGAAUUCCAGGUGUAGCGGUGAAAUGCGUAGAUAUCUGGAGGAACACCGGUGGCGAAGGCGGCAUCCUGGACCGGUAUUGACGCUGAUGCGCGAAAGCCAGGGGAGCAAAGC